CCCCUAGACGUUCUGGGCUGCACGCGCGCUACAAUAAUACGCACAGCGAGUAUCACCGAGCUUGAAAGGGCAAGGUAAACAAUAGAAAAGGUACUGUAAUGGUUAUAGAUCCUUGUAAUUAUUGAUCUUCAACGAGGAAUUCCUAGUAAGUAUGUGUCAUCAUCACGCACUGAUUACGUCCCUGCCCUUUGUACACACCGCCCGUCGCUCCUACCGAUUGGGUGAGCCGAUGAAACUCUCGGAUGUAGGCUAUUCAUAGCCCGCAGAAGAGAUUUGAAUCGUAGCGCUUAGAGGAAGGAGAAGUCGUAACA
rnacentral:rRNA from 1 species